GACUAGAGAGCUUGAGAAGCACUUGACUUUUAAUCAAGAGAUAAUAUAUUACUAUUUCUAGUUA
rnacentral:tRNA from 1 species